rnacentral:rRNA from 1 species
GCCCGUCCCGCCGCCCCCGCCCGCCCUACGGGGCGCAGCAGGCGCGAAAACUUUACCAUGCGGGCAACCGUGAUAAGGAAACCCCGAGUGCCAGCACAGGCUGGCUGUCCACCAGUGUAAAUAACUGGUGAAGAAAGGGCCGGGCAAGACCGGUGCCAGCCGCCGCGGUAAUACCGGCGGCUCGAGUGGUGGCCGCUAUUACUGGGCUUAAAGGGUCCGUAGCUGGAUAUACAAGUCCCUUGAGAAAUCCGCCAGCUUAACCGGCGGGCGUU